GCGGGAGCCCGUCCCACCGAGAGGCUAAGGGAGGAAGGAGAAGAAGAAACCACGUGCGGCCAACUUGUACCACUACCUGUUCCCUGAAUUCUUCUGAAGGGUUCAUAAGGGUCACAUCAUUCAAGUUCAAUGAAGGGGAACUAGAGGCCCAGAAGGGCUAUCUCACACCAUCAAGAUCCCAGAGGACGUUCAAUGAUAAAAUGGCCUCUUGCUCCACAACCCAAGUCAGCAGGUGUACGACAUAAUGAUUCCAUAUUUGUAUACACUUCGAAAGGAUCACCACAAAUGGUCAUCAUCAAAAGACAAGAGAUAUCAAAUGCUGGCAUGGAUGCAGAGAAAAGGGAACCCUUGUGCACUGCUGGUGGAUUGUGAAUUGGUGCAGCCACUAUAAAAAACAGUAC